rnacentral:tRNA from 1 species
ACUUGAAUAGCUUAUACAAAGAGCAUAGUACUGAAGAUACUAAGGAGAUUAUAUUAAUCUUUAAGUA